rnacentral:lncRNA from 1 species
CAAAAGUGUCAACAAUCAGUAUGACACUUAAUCUUGUGACUGCUGUAGCGUUAGUGUGUAUGCCUGAGUGUAAUGAUUUCAACCUGAACCCCUAUACGACACACUGUAAAACGCCUGCAUGCUUUGCACAGAAAAAGUAAGAUGAAGUCUGAGAAACAUUAUUACUGUAUUCAUGAAUAAUCCAGGGCGUUAGCACUCAGAAAUGACAGGCCAAUUUCACUGCCAUUAAACAUUUACAUCUCCCCCAGGGAGUCGUUGUACUGUAGUAGAGUAUAUGAUGUUGUAACAUAUGAUGUUAGCCUACAGGUAGGAUGGAUUGUUGUACUGUAGUAGAGUAUAUGAUGUUGUAACAUAUGAUGUUAGCCUACAGGUAGGAAGGAUUGUUGGACUGUAGUAGAGUAUAUGAUGUUGUAACAUAUGAUGUUAGCCUACAGGUAGGAAGGAUGGUUGUACUGUAGUAGAGUAUAUGAUGUUGUAACAUGAUGUUAGCCUACAGGUAGAAAGGAUUGUUGUACUGUAGUAGAGUAUAUGAUGUUGUAACAUAUGAUGUUAGCCUACAGGUAGGAAGGAUGGUUGUACUGUAGUAGAGUAUAUGAUGUUGUAACAUGAUGUUAGCCUACAGGUUGGAAGAAUGGUUGUACUGUAGUAGAGUAUAUGAUGUUGUAACAUAUGAUGUUAGCCUACAGGUAGGAAGGAUUGUUGGACUGUAGUAGAGUAUAUGAUGUUGUAACAUAUGAUGUUAGCCUACAGGUAGGAAGGAUUGUUGUACUGUAGUAGAGUAUAUGAUGUUGUAACAUGAUGUUAGCCUACAGGUUGGAAGGAUGGUUGUACUGUAGUAGAGUAUAUGAUGUAACAUGCUGUUAGCCUACAGGUAGGAAGGAUGUACUGUAGUAGAGUAUAUGAUGUAACAUGCUGUUAGCCUACAGGUAGGAAGGAUUGUUGUACUGUAGUAGAGUAUAUGAUGUAACAUGCUGUUAGCCUACAGGUAGGAAGGAUGGUUGUACUGUAGUAGAGUAUAUGAUGUUGUAACAUAUGCUGUUAGCUUACAGGUAGGAAGGAUGGAUGCCCCGCAUCACCACACCCACUGAGGCAGUCUACUAAACAAAUAUGUUGAUAGCACAUGAUAGUUG